rnacentral:tRNA from 1 species
GGCCCCGUGGCUCAACUGGAUAGAGCAAUCCCCUCCUAAGGGAUAGGUUAGUGGUUCGAAUCCACUCGGGGUCACCA